CCCUUAGAUGUUCUGGGCUGCACGCGCGCUACACUGAUGCGUUCAACGAGUUUAUGACCUUGCCCGAUAGGGUUGGGUAAUCUUUUUAAAUCGCAUCGUGAUGGGGAUAGAUUAUUGCAAUUAUUAAUCUUCAACGAGGAAUUCCUAGUAAACGCAAGUCAUCAGCUUGCAUUGAUUACGUCCCUGCCCUUUGUACACACCGCCCGUCGCACCUACCGAUUGAAUGGUCCGGUGAAAUCUCGGGACGGCGGCUUGGUCGCUUGCGUCCGACUGCUGAAACUUGAUUAAACCAUAUCAUUUAGAGGAAGGUGAANUCGUAACA
rnacentral:rRNA from 1 species